AGUGAACGCUGGCGGUAGGCCUAACACAUGCAAGUCGAACGGCAGCACAGUAAGAGCUUGCUCUUACGGGUGGCGAGAGGCGGACGGGUGAGGAAUACAUCGGAAUCUACUUUUUCGUGGGGGAUAACGUAGGGAAACUUACGCUAAUACCGCAUACGACCUACGGGUGAAAGCAGGGGAUCUUCGGACCUUGCGCGAUUGAAUGAGCCGAUGUCGGAUUAGCUAGUUGGCGGGGUAAAGGCCCACCAAGGCGACGAUCCGUAGCUGGUCUGAGAGGAUGAGCCGCACCACGGGACUGGAGACGCGGCCCGGACUCCGAGGGGAGGCAGCGGGGGGUAAUGUUGGACAAGGGCGGCAAGCCUGACCCAGCCAUCCCGGGGGGGGGAAGAGGGCUUGCGGUUGGUAAAGCCUUUUUGUGGGAAAAGAAAAGCAGCGGGUAAAACCCCCGGUGUUCUGAGGGUACCAAAAAAAAAAGCCCGGGCUAGCUCCGUG
rnacentral:rRNA from 1 species